rnacentral:lncRNA from 1 species
AGGUGUUAAUGAGGGAUAUGCUAAUGUGCGAUAUGCUAAUUAACGAUGGAUAUGCUAAUCUACGAUAUGCACUGACGAGCAAGCAAGACAACGAUGAAUAUGUUAAUGAGGGGUUUGCUAAUCACCGUGUUAAAUAUGUUAAUUACUGGUGGUAAUGAAUUGCAUGCAGAUUUAUGGACUAUGCUAGCGGGUGAUCUGCUCAUCUGGGCCGUGCUAUUAAGGCAAGGGGUAUGCUAAUGAGGAGGGUGUUAGAAACACUAACAGGGCCAAACUGCCCCAUUCCUUUGCAGCGUGUGGCCGCCCGCCUGGCUCCGGCUGGGCCCUCUGACCCCGAUGGGCGACCCCGGGGGUCUCGCCUGGGGCAGCAGGAAGGUCUGGCUCGCCGUGGCCAUUGUGGAACUCGCCAUCGUCCUCAUCCUGGCAGCCGGGCUGGGCCACUUUGUGGCCACGGAGCAGUGGCUGCACAGCGACGUGCUGGGCCUGCGGGAGGAGCUGGCCCGUGCCAACUGGACCCUGCAGGAGAUGCAGGAGAGCUCUGACGUGUGCAGGAACCACACGCAUGUCCUGCAGAAGAAUGUCAUCAACCUGACCCAGGAGGUCACCCGGUUAAAUAGCGACAUUGCCCAGCAAGAGGUGGAAAAAGGCAGGUUACAAGAUGAAAUUAGCACCUGGAAAAACAAGGUCCAGCAUCUCCAGGAGCAAAAGGAUCAGUACCACAGGGAGGUCAGCUGGCUACAGCAGCAGCUCCAAAGACACCAGGAACUUCGCUCCAGUGUGGGCAGUGCCAGGCUCCCCCCCCUCCUGCCUCUGCUGGCAGCCCCCCUCGCUGCACUGCUUGUCUGAACGGAGCCAGGCAGGGAGCAGAGUCAGCACCCAGGACGGAGUCCCCCAGCUGAGAGACCGGGACUCUCCCAGGGAAUAAGCAGCACUGGACCCUGUGGCCGGCACAUGCUCCUCGUGGAGGAAGCCUCAUCUCCUGCCAGAGGACUGUUUACUGAGGGGGGGGGGGCUGUGACGGACGAGGGGGACGCAGUGACAAGUCCAUGGAUGGAGAUGACCCUGCACUACAGUUUAGACACGUCACCCAAAGCCCCAGAUGACAGUUGCACCAAGUUGGGCCUGUGACAUCCUACUUGGGUAGGAAACACCAAUGGACCGCCGACAUUUUUUCAGAGGUGGCCACUGAUUUGGGGUGCCCGGUUUUGGGGUGCCCCUGGCCCCCACAUGAGUCACACCCAGUCUGGGACCCAGCGACAGCAUCACCUGCUCUCACGCUUAGGGAAAGGGGAGGGGGGAUUAAAGUGACUAACAACCCAGCCCUCGGCCGGGAGAACGUUGGCAGAAUAAAUAGGCUUUGCUAUUCA